UGGAGGUGAAGCUGGCAGCUCUUCCCUGCAUAACCAGCCAGAAAAGACACAAGGGUGUGGCACAGGCUGGGCCUGGAGCAGCAUCCGCAGGAUGCUUACUGUGAUGUAUGAGAGGACCACAUGUCUCUGAAGGAUGUAGGAUGCUGGUUUGUUCCAUUACUGAGAGCCUAGCAGACUCAAAGGAGAAGUAGGUAAGGCCAUGACUUGCAAGAGGCAGUAGGUUUUAUGCCUACCUUGAGGAUCUGUAAACCAUGAGGGGCACUGCCAACGGGCGAGAAUUCAACCUGGACCUCUUUGGUGCAGGACUACCUUGAGACCACACCUCUUCAUUGUGACAGACCCAGAAGGAGAUGUAUGUCAGACAGGCUACCGACAAGAGAAAGGCUGCUGCACCAGGAACAAAAUAAGGUGAAUUCUAGACACAUGUGAGGAGCAGGCAGAAGACAGCAUGCUAGAGAGCAGACAUUUCAUUGUAUCUACACCGUAAAAUUGCAACUGUGUAUCCCUCAGAGCUGAGGUGUGCCACCUACGUGAACUGCAAGGCAGCCACAGCCCUGCCCUCUGUGUCCUCAUCCUGGAAGAGGGUUGCUUUGUCCAUCUGGAAAUCUCUUAGAAUUCCAUGUCUGUGGGAGGCAGAGGAGAACGCAGAGCUGGAAGGUGAUAUGCGGCUUCUGCCUGGAGACUCCGCCCCACCCCAGACUUCCUGUGUCUUCUGUGAAGAGGUGAUGAAUCCACUGAGUGGCACUGAAGCUGUGAGUCUGCAAUCAUGGAUACCACUGCAGAAGAGGUUUCCUUGUCCUUCACAGCCAGCAGGAGCAUGGAUCAUAGACUGCCGCAUGAGCUCUAAUGACAGCAAGGGCCAGGGACAUCCAUCUGGCCUCCGGCACCAGCACAUGCCACAGACCUCAGCAUGGUUUCUGGUGAUAGUACAAGCCACUAACAGACAUCAAUUCAGCCUCCAGCUGCAGCAGGACCAUGGACCCCCAGUAUGGCCCUUGUCAGCAGCACAGACCACAGACAUCUGUGUGGCCUUUAGUGGUACCAUAGGCCAUAGACAUUAACAUGGCCCCCAGUGCAGUACAGAGCAUGGCCUCAGGUGGCAGCUCAGGCUAUUCCCAUUUGCAUGGUCCCCAGAGGCACCAUGGCUCAUGGACAUCAACAUGUCAGCCUGCUUUCUUUUAGAAAACCCAGGACCACCUGCCCAGGGAUAACAUCAACCACAAUGGGCUGGGCUAUCCCCGUCAAUCACUACUUAAGAAAAUGCUUACAGGCUUGCCUACAGCUCGAUCUUAUGGAGGCAUUUUCUUAAUUGAGGUUCCCUCCUCUCAGAUGACUUUAGCUUGCAUCAAGUUGACACAAACUAUAUAAUACACUGGCCAUCUCCUCAGCCACAAGCAACAGAGGGCUGUCAUGCUGAGGAAGCACGGUUCAGCUCCAGACCAGCUAGCAAUUCCUCUUCCAGCAGCAAGCUCUUCUGACUUUAGGAAUGCCCAUCAGACCCAGGCUGCCUGUGCACUGACACGAAUGUGUUAUCUGUCUGUCCAUCCCCCCCCCCCCAACACACACAUCUUAGGGUUACUGUUGCUGUAAUGAAACACUAUGACCAAAAGCAACUUGGAGAGGAAAGGGUUUAUUUCAUUCACAGCUCCAUGAAACAGUUCAUCAAAAGCAGUGAGGGGGGAACUCAAGCAGGCAGGAACCUGGAGGCAGGAGCUGAUGCAGAGGCCAUGGAGGGUGCUGCUGACUGGCUUGUUGCUCAUAGCUUAAUCAAUCUGCUUUAUUAUUAUUAUUAUUAUAUUAUUAUAUUAUUAUUAUUAUUAUUAUUAUUAUUUGUAUAUGCUCAGCCCAAGGAGUGGCACUAUUAGAAGGUAUGGCCCUGUUGGAGUAGGUGUGUCACUGUUGGCGUGGGCUUUAAGACCCUCAUCCUAGCUGCCUGGAAGCCAGUAUUCUGCUAGCAGCCUUCAGAUGAAGAUGUAGAACUCUCAGCUCCUCCUGCACCAUGCCUGCCUGGAUGCUGCCAUGUUCUUGCCUUGAUAUUUAAUGCACUGAACCUCUGAGCCUGUAGGCCAGCCCCAGUUAAAGGUCCUUACAAAAGUUGCCUCGGCCAUGAUGUCUGUAUACAGCAGUAAAACCCUAAGACAAUUAUUAUUAUUAUUAUCCUUUUGAGACAAGGUUUCUCUGUGUAGCCCUGGAUGUCCUAGAACUCACUCUAUAGACCAAGCUGGCCCUGAACUCAGAGAUUCACCUGCCUCUGACUCCCAAGUGCUGGGAUUAAAGAUGUACACAUACCACCAUACCUGGCUCUUAACCUGCUUUCUUAUUGAACCCAGAGCCAUUUGGCCAGAAGUGGCCUCACCAACAAGGGUGGGACCCUCUCAUCAAUCGAUAAUUAAGAAAAUGUCCUACUGGUUUGCCUACAACCCACGCUUAUGAGGGCAUUCUCAAUUGAGGCUCCCUCCUCUCCAGUGACUUUGGCUUGCGUCCAGUUAACAUAAAGCUAACUAGCACACUCCACAUAUGCACCCCCACCUGCCACCGCGAAGCAGGAGAUCAGGGUGAAGAAUGAGGUAGGGAUGGCCUCACGCUGAGGCUGAAAAAUUAGAAAACAAGAAAAACAAGUUGGCAAAGAUAAGGCUGGAACUUUUACCCAAGGCUGGAACUGAUAGGAACCGGUGAGGAAGGUACACAAGCAUCUAAAGAGAGUGCAGAUGAUCUAUGGCCCCUUGUAACACCAAAACGCACACCCUGGGUGGAGGUUUAAUACGCUAUUCAGGUGGUAGACUAGAGGCCUGCUCCUUCUCGAGAGUAUGAAAAGCACACAGCUAGUUGGAAUGCUGACCCAAGCCUUCUCUAGUUCCACAAUCAUUUGAGACAGUGCUGCAGAGCCUCCAUAUUGGAGACCAUUUCCCUAGCUUCCAGGACCAAACAAACCCACCUCAAGGCCAGGUCUUCUCAGCACUUGCUUGGGGCCCCCUUAAUAGUGAUUCCUACUGUCCUUGGACUGAGUACCUCACCUGUGGCACCUCUAGAAGCUGCCCAAGAAGAGGAUCCUGGAUCUCAAGUGUCAUUCCAGCUCCUUAAGACACAGUCCCUUUUCUCUGCCUCCCGGGAGCCUGGGGUUGUUUGGUGACCCCUUCCCAGGGCUUCCUGCUAAAGGACAGAUCAGCUGUCCUGUGGCUGCGGGAGCCGGCCUGAGGUGAUCAGCAAGCAACAUUAUUAUCAUUACUCUACUAAUUAAUUCCCAGCUCAUUACAUUUCCUGUGGCUAAUUUGUACCCGGCUGAUUUGAUUAAACUCAUCUCUAUGCUAA